rnacentral:rRNA from 1 species
AUUGAACGCUGGCGGCAGGCCUAACACAUGCAAGUCGAGCGGAUGAAGGGAGCUUGCUCCUGGAUUCAGCGGCGGACGGGUGAGUAAUGCCUAGGAAUCUGCCUGGUAGUGGGGGAUAACGUCCGGAAACGGGCGCUAAUACCGCAUACGUCCUGAGGGAGAAAGUGGGGGAUCUUCGGACCUCACGCUAUCAGAUGAGCCUAGGUCGGAUUAGCUAGUUGGUGGGGUAAAGGCCUACCAAGGCGACGAUCCGUAACUGGUCUGAGAGGAUGAUCAGUCAAACUGGAACUGAGACACGGUCGAGACUCCUACGGGAGGCAGCAGUGGGGAAUAUUGGACAAUGGGCGAAAGCCUGAUCCAGCCAUGCCGCGUGUGUGAAGAAGGUCUUCGGAUUGUAAAGCACUUUAAGUUGGGAGGAAGGGCAGUAAGUUAAUACCUUGCUGUUUUGACGUUACCAACAGAAUAAGCACCGGCUAACUUCGUG